rnacentral:rRNA from 1 species
AUUGAACGCUGGCGGCAUGCUUUACACAUGCAAGUCGGACGGCAGCACAGAGAAGCUUGCUUCUUGGGUGGCGAGUGGCGAACGGGUGAGUCACAUAUCGGAACGUACCGAGCAGUGGGGGAUAACUAAUCGAAAGAUUAGCUAAUACCGCAUAUCUUCUGAGGAAGAAAGCAGGGGACCAUUUGGCCUUGCGCUGUUUGAGCGGCCGAUAUCUGAUUAGCUAGUUGGUGGGGUAAAGGCCUACCAAGGCGACGAUCAGUAGCGGGUCUGAGAGGAUGAUCCGCCACACUGGGACUGAGACACGGCCCAGACUCCUACGGGAGGCAGCAGUGGGGAAUGUUGGACAAUGGGCGCAAGCCUGAUCCAGCCAUGCCGCGUGUCUGAAGAAGGCCUUCGGGUUGUAAAGGACUUUUGUCAGGGAAGAAAAGGGCGGGGUUAAUACCCCUGUCUGAUGACGGUACCUGAAGAAUAAGCACCGGCUAACUACGUG